AACGAACGCUGGCGGCAUGCCUAACACAUGCAAGUCGAACGAGACCCCUGACUUCGGUUGGCGGGUCUAGUGGCGCACGGGUGCGUAACGCGUGGGAAUCUGCCCUUGGGGUUCGGAAUAACUCAGAGAAAUUUGAGCUAAUACCGGAUGAUGACGAAAGUCCAAAGAUUUAUCGCCCAGGGAUGAGCCCGCGUAAGAUUAGCUUGUUGGUGGGGUAAUGGCCUACCAAGGCGACGAUCUUUAGCUGGUCUGAGAGGAUGAUCAGCCACACUGGGACUGAGACACGGCCCAGACUCCUACGGGAGGCAGCAGUGGGGAAUAUUGGACAAUGGGCGCAAGCCUGAUCCAGCAAUGCCGCGUGAGUGAUGAAGGCCUUAGGGUUGUAAAGCUCUGUUCUUGGUGACGAAAAGAUGACGGUAGCCAAGGAGAAAGCCCCGGCUAACUACGUG
rnacentral:rRNA from 1 species